rnacentral:rRNA from 1 species
AUUGAACGCUGGCGGCAUGCUUUACACAUGCAAGUCGAACGGUAACAGGCCGCAAGGUGCUGACGAGUGGCGAACGGGUGAGUAAUGCAUCGGAACGUGCCCAGUCGUGGGGGAUAACGCAGCGAAAGCUGCGCUAAUACCGCAUACGAUCUAUGGAUGAAAGCGGGGGACCGUAAGGCCUCGCACGAUUGGAGCGGCCGAUGUCGGAUUAGGUAGUUGGUGGGGUAAAGGCUCACCAAGCCAACGAUCUGUAGCUGGUCUGAGAGGACGACCAGCCACACUGGGACUGAGACACGGCCCAGACUCCUACGGGAGGCAGCAGUGGGGAAUUUUGGACAAUGGGCGCAAGCCUGAUCCAGCAAUGCCGCGUGCAGGAAGAAGGCCUUCGGGUUGUAAACUGCUUUUGUACGGAACGAAACGGUCCUGGUUAAUACCCGGGGCUAAUAACGGUACCGUAAGAAUAAGCACCGGCUAACUACGUGCCAGCAGCCGCCGUAAUAC